CAAAGGUCCUUUCAGGUUGGAAACCUCUGGUCUAAAUACUGGGCUGUUCACCAUCAUUUUUCAGUGAUGUUGUUCUUCAGUGGUUGAUAGGUGGUUACUUACUGGUUCAAGUCAAAAGAGCCCAACCCCAAGUCUCAAUUCUGGUCCGUAUGGCUCAAAUCCCUCUUUCAAUACUCCCCGUCUCCCUGGCUGCUGUACAGUACUUAUCUUCCCGCCACCUCUGGCUUCCCCGCUGCCAUCUCCCUUCCCCUUCACCCUGCCUCACCUGCCACCACUGCCCGUUGCUCCCCCUGUCUCACACGCCAUCGUCCUUGACCUCCUGUGCGGACUGCUUUUGGCUAGGCGUUAUCGUUCCAUGGACUUUGUCUAUGCUACCUGAGGCCAUCAUUGACUGUGGACCUUAUCCAGUCUUGCCCUUGCUUCUGUUUGUCACCCACUUGAACUCCUGUUUUCCCAAUAAACUGUGUAUUACCCUGCAAACUGAAUCCUCUUCUUUCUG